rnacentral:rRNA from 1 species
CUAAUACAUGCAAGUCGAGCGAGCAAAGUUAAAGGAAUACUUCGGUAGGAAUUUAAUAGCGCGAGCGGCGGAUGGGUGAGUAACACGUGGGCAAUCUACCCUUUAGCUUGGGAUACCACUUGGAAACAGGUGCUAAUACCAAAUAAGAAGUAAGAGCGCAUGCUCAAGCUAUGAAAGGCGGCUUUCGAGCUGUCACUAAAGGAUGAGCCCGCGGUGCAUUAGCUAGUUGGUAAGGUAACGGCUUACCAAGGCAAUGAUGCAUAGCCGAGUUGAGAGACUGAUCGGCCACAUUGGGACUGAGACACGGCCCAAACUCCUACGGGAGGCAGCAGUAGGGAAUCUUCCACAAUGGACGCAAGUCUGAUGGAGCAACGCCGCGUGAGUGAAGAAGGUUUUCGGAUCGUAAAGCUCUGUUGUUGGUGAAGAAGGACAUGGGUAGUAACUGAUCUAUGUUUGACGGUAAUCAACCAGAAAGUCACGGCUAACUACGUGCCAGCAGCCGCGGUAAUACGUAGGUGGCAAGCGUUGUCCGGAUUUAUUGGGCGUAAAGCGAACGCAGGCGGGAGAACAAGUCAGCUGUGAAAGCCCUCGGCUUAACCGAGGAACGGCAACUGAAACUGUUUUUCUUGAGUGCAGAAGAGGAGAGUGGAACUCCAUGUGUAGCGGUGAAAUGCGUAGAUAUAUGGAAGAACACCAGUGGCGAAGGCGGCUCUCUGGUCUGUAACUGACGCUGAGGUUCGAAAGCAUGGGUAGCGAACAGGAUUAGAUACCCUGGUAGUCCAUGCCGUAAACGAUGAGUGCUAAGUGUUGGGAGGUUUCCGCCUCUCAGUGCUGCAGCUAACGCAUUAAGCACUCCGCCUGGGGAGUACGACCGCAAGGUUAAAACUCAAAGGAAUUGACGGGGGCCCGCACAAGCGGUGGAGCAUGUGGUUUAAUUCGAACAACGCG